rnacentral:rRNA from 1 species
AACACUUGGGUAACCUGCCCAUAAGACUGGGAUAACUCCUGGAAACCCGGGCUAAUACCUUGAUAACAUUUUGAACCGCAUGGUUCAAAAUUGAAAGGCGGCUUCUGCUGUCAAUUAUGGAUGGACCCUCGUCACAGUAACUAGUUGGUGAGGUAACGGCUCACCUCGGCAACUAUGCGUACCCUACCUGAGAGGGUGAUCGGCCACACUGGGACUGAGACACGGGCCAAACUCCUACUGGAGGCAUCCCUACGGAAUCUUCCUCAGUGGACGAAAGUCUGACUGAACAGCCCCACUUGAGUGAUGAAAGCUUUAUGGUCGUAUAACUCUGUUGUUAGGGAAGAACAAGUGCUAGUUGAAUAAGCUGGCACCUUGACAGUACCUAACUGUCAGCCACGGCUAACUACGUGCCCGCAUGCCGCGGUGAAUACGUAAGUGGCAAGCGUUAUCCGGAAUUAUCUGCGCGUAAAGCGCGCGCAAGUGGUUUCUUAAGUCUGAUGUGAAAGCCCACGGCGUCAACCGUGGAGGGUCAUUGGAAACUGCCGAGACUCCCAGUGCAGAAGU